GCCCUAGUAACGGCGAGUGAAGCGGCAACAGCUCAAAUUUGAAAUCUGGCUCUUUUAGAGUCCGAGUUGUAAUUUGCAGAGGGCGCUUUGGCGUUGGCAGCGGUCCAAGUUCUUUGGAACAGGACGUCACAGAGGGUGAGAAUCCCGUACGUGGUCGCUAGCCUUCGCCGUGUAAAGCCCCUUCGACGAGUCGAGUUGUUUGGGAAUGCAGCUCUAAAUGGGAGGUAAAUUUCUUCUAAAGCUAAAUACUGGCCAGAGACCGAUAGCGCACAAGUAGAGUGAUCGAAAGAUGAAAAGCACUUUGGAAAGAGAGUCAAAUAGCACGUGAAAUUGUUGAAAGGGAAGCGCUUGCAGCCAGACUUGCCUGUAGUUGCUUAUCCGGACUUUUGUCCGGUGCACUCUUCUGCGGGCAGGCCAGCAUCAGUUUAGGCGGUUGGAUAAAGGUCUCUAUCACGUACCUCCCUUCGGGGUUGGCCUUAUAGGGGAGACGACAUGCAACCAGCCUGAACUGAGGUCCGCGCAUCUGCUAGGAUGCUGGCGUAAUGGCUGUAAGCGGCCCGUCUUGAAACACGGACCAAGGAGUCUAACAUCUAUGCGAGUGUUUGGGUGUCAAGCCCAGACGCGUAAUGAAAGUGAACGGAGGUGGGAACCUUUUAGGUGCACCAUCGACCGAUCCUGAUGUCUUCGGAUGGAUUUGAGUAAGAGCAUGGCUGUUGGGACCCGAAAGAUGGUGAACUAUGCUUGAAUAGGGUGAAGCCAGAGGAAACUCUGGUGGAGGCUCGCAGCGGUUCUGACGUGCAAAUCGAUCGUCAAAUUUGGGCAUAGGGGCG
rnacentral:rRNA from 1 species